rnacentral:rRNA from 1 species
UACGAGGGGGGCGAGCGUUGUUCGGAAUUAUUGGGCGUAAAGCGCGCGCAGGCGGUCCUUUAAGUCUGAUGUGAAAGCCCACGGCUCAACCGUGGAGGGUCAUUGGAAACUGGGGGACUUGAGUACAGAAGAGAAGAGUGGAAUUCCACGUGUAGCGGUGAAAUGCGUAGAGAUGUGGAGGAACACCAGUGGCGAAGGCGACUCUUUGGUCUGUAACUGACGCUGAGGCGCGAAAGCGUGGGGAGCAAACAGG